AGCAGUAGCGGCAUCCCCCUACAGCGACUCCCUCCGGCGCUGCCCGGUACUGGGCCGGGCCCGGCCAAGGGCGGCGCGACGGGCCGCGUUCCCCCCCCCCCGCUCCGCUUCCCUCCCGCUCGCUCACCUGCCGCCGGGACGGGCGCCCGGGGGUGCCAGGCGGGCGGCCCAAGGAUGCCAGCGCUGCCGCCGCAGCCCUCACUGCCUCGCCGGGCCGCUCAGCUCCUCCGCGGCGGCAGCGUGGACGGCCGCUCCCCUUGUCUUGUUUGCACCCCUCCACCGUCGCCACCGCUGCCUCCUGCUCGCCUCUGCCACAUUUGGAUCCCCCUCUCCCUACGCAAGCUCAGCCGCCAGUACAGAGGCCUCCUCACCUUCCUGCCAAAUAACAACAGUGGCAGAAAAAGAAAACACAACAUUGUGAAAAACAUCUAA
rnacentral:lncRNA from 1 species